CAUUUAAUUUAAACUAUGACGCUUCUCUAUGUUCUCUGUUAUAACUAUAACCUCAAAAACAUUGCUACAGAACCAAAGAAAAUGACCGGAAUAAUAGCAGUUCAUUGUGGGGCUGGCAGCCACAGCAGCUCUCACUACGCCAAAUACAACAAACUAUCGAAAAAAGCCUGCAAAAAAGGCGUCGAAGUGCUACUGAACGGCGGAAGUGCGCUUGAUGCCGUUAAAGUCGUUAUCGCAGUCCUGGAAAACGACCCCCUAACGAAUUGCGGCUACGGCUCCAAUUUAACUAUGGACGGACGUGUGGAAGGAGACGCUUCAGUCAUGGACGGGCGCACACUGAUUUACGGGGGCUGCGGUGCCGUCAGAAACGUCAAAAACCCCAUACAUUUGGCGUACGACAUUUGUGUGAAGCAGUUAACCCCGUUGCCCCUGGGUUUAAUUCCGCCGUCGUUGCUUGUGGGAAAGGGGGCUCUGGAGCAGGCCAGAGCGUCUCGCGUGAAGACUGUCAACCAAAAGUCGUUGAUUAGUCCAAAGGCGUGGUCGCAGUUUGUCAAAUAUAAAAAGAAACUGGAGGCUGAGAAAAGUGCCGAGUUGUUGGACACAGUGGGGGCUGUUUGUUUGGAUAAAAAUGGAGAUGUGGCAGCUGGGUGCAGUUCUGGGGGGAUACUUCUAAAGCGACCGGGAAGAGUAGGCCAAGCUGCUAUUUAUGCAUCUGGGGUGUGGGCUGACAGUUUUAAUAAAGAAGCGGAAAACCCGGUGGCUGUGUGUACCUCAGGGUGUGGGGAGCACCUAGUCAGGACCCAUUUAGCCCAAACUAUCAGUGAAGAUAUCAAAAAUUGCUCGUGUCCAACCAAAGCCUUGAGUGAUUCUAUUACUCAAAGAUUUCUAAAUUCUCGAUAUUUGCAGAGUGUCUCGAAUAAGCUCUGUGGGGCUUUGGUGUUACAUGUAGAUAAUCAGACUGGCGACAUUUCGGUUCUGUGGGCCCACACUACCCAGACCAUGAGUGUUGGGUUUAUGACCUGUCUUGAUAAAAAAGCGACGGCAGUAGUUUCACAGUUACCAGAUGACGUUCCAGUUGGGGUUAAAGUGAACGUGAGUGGGGUUUUUCAUCGCAAGGAGUAAAAGUGGUUGGUGCUAAAAGCACGUUUUUUUUACACAAGUGCGUUCAUUGCCAAGAAUUUGUGUGAUGAUUCUUGAUGAGAAAAAGUUGAAAACAGGUGAAACCACAGGCACAAAACAGGUGAAACUGAAAGAAUAAUUAACUUUUUAAAACAUAAAAGGAAAUAUUAGUAACAUUCUUCAAAAGUCUUAUAAAAGAUUCAGUUGGAAUUUUGACAGUCAAUAGUUUACGCCCGCAAAUGACGAAAAUAAAGUAAUA